rnacentral:rRNA from 1 species
CAGUCGCCGCGGUAAUACGAAGGGCGCAAGCGUUACUCGGAAUUACUGGGCGUAAAGCGUGCGUAGGUGGUGGUUUAAGUCCGUUGUGAAAGCCCUGGGCUCAACCUGGGAAUUGCAGUGGAUACUGGGUCACUAGAGUGUGGUAGAGGAUAGUGGAAUUUCCGGUGUAGCAGUGAAAUGCGUAGAGAUCGGAAGGAACAUCUGUGGCGAAGGCGACUAUCUGGGCCAACACUGACACUGAGGCACGAAAGCGUGGGGAGCAAACAGGAUUAGAUACCCGCGUAGUCCCUGUCUCUUAUAC